AGCUUUGCGCAGUGGCAGUAUCGUAGCCAAUGAGGUUUAUCCGAGGCGCGAUUACUGCUAAUUAAAAUGUCUAGUGGAUAAAAGAAUCAAGAAAUAAAUUAGUUUUCAGUUGAUGUGACCUGUUUUUCCCUGGUCAG
ensembl:snRNA U4 U4 spliceosomal RNA